rnacentral:rRNA from 1 species
UCGCCCACUCUCGGUUCGCCCAUGGCCUCUGAGCCCCUGUCGUCGGGCCAGUCUUCGCCAUGCAGCCCGGAGUCGUCUGUCCCGAGCUCGCCUGAGGUGAUUCCUGCAUCUCCGGCGACCGUCACGUCUCCGUCACCUUCGCCUCCGCCGGCUCCUGCUGCUGCUCUACGUCCACAUACGCGCAGUCGGAGUGGCAUUUUUCAGCCUAAGCAACGUCACGAUGGCACAGUUGCUUGGUUAGCGGCGUGCAUGUCUGCUGCUCUCGCAGAUCCAUCCUCUGAGCCACGCACGUAUCAAGCUGCUAUGCGCAUUCCUCAUUGGAGAGAGGCCAUGGAGCAAGAGUAUCAAGCGCUUCUUCGCAAUCAGACAUGGACUCUUGUUCCUCCACAAUCACGGGUAAAUGUCAUUGAUUCCAAAUGGGUUUUCAAAGUGAAGAGGCAUUCUGAUGGGUCCAUUGAGCGCUAUAAGGCUCGUCUGGUUGCUCGUGGUUUUCGACAUCGUUUUGGACUUGACUAUGAAGACACCUUCAGUCCAGUGGUCAAGCCUACUACCAUCAGACUUCUUCUCUCUCUGGCUGUUACUCGAGGUUGGUUUCUUCGUCAGCUUGAUGUUCAAAAUGCUUUUCUUCAUGGUGUCUUGGUGGAGGAGGUUUACAUGCGCCAGCCUCCGGGUUUCUCUGAUCCGGAUCGCCCUGAUCAUCUCUGUCGUCUGUCCAAGGCAAUUUAUGGUCUGAAGCAGGCUCCUCGUGCUUGGCAUGCUCGUCUUGCAAUGGCUCUUCGUGCUCAUGGUUUUGCAUCAUCAACUGCUGACUCCUCAUUGUUUCUUCUUCAAAGGCCUGAGGUUACUAUGUACUUGUUGGUCUAUGUAGAUGAUAUCAUUUUGGCC